AGCAAGUUAAAAUUUUUUUUUAAGGCUAGGUAUUCCUGCAAAAGUAGGCAUUUAGCGCUGAGCCGGCCGCGCGUAAUAAUACUUCGCGCGGACACUGCGGCAGUGAACUCGCAUUGCAAACGUGACCCCGCCGUCAGUGACACAGUGCAGAAUUAAGCAGUAGGAUAAUUUUAUUUGGCUUUAAAAUAGAAAGGCAUUUAUUAUGAUCAUUUUUUAUAGUAGUAAUAAAUAAUAUCUAGUUUCGUAAAUAAAUGAAAGUAAAGGA